rnacentral:lncRNA from 1 species
UUAAAUAAGUGAUUUAUAUAUAUGAUUUCGUUAGUUACAGCAUUCACGGAAAUCUUGGAAGGAUUCAGUAUAACAUAUAUAUACUUACAAUAAUUCUGGGGCGACCGGUUUUUACAAACAUUUUCAGUGACCGGGUGAUGUGACUUUGUCCACAUCAACUAUUGAUGAUAAAAAAAAAAAACUUCUUCGGCAUAUCACGCCACUUUUUUUCUCUUGCCAAACACUUUCCUCUUCUCUCUGCUUACCAAAUCCACCUUGUCGCUGCUCCAAUCCGCAACUGCCGCUGCCACUGCCGUUGCCGCUGCCGAUGCCACUGCCGCCGCUCCCUUCCUUCUCUCUUCUAGCAGCCUUAAGGUAUGUAUACUAUUUGAGAGAUUUCCCAUGUUGCCCUAGAUUUAGAAUAUCAAAUUCCUAAAAGCCUAAAAAAAUUAGAUUUAUACAAAUCUGGGUGUGAUAGAUUUAGAUUCUUGUUUUGGGUGUAACUUUUGUUAUGGAGUAUUUUAUAUGGAUUAUCCUCUUGGGUUUUCCGUUUAUGGUUGAAUUAAUUUGCUCAACAAUAUCCUGCCUUUAUGGUGUGCACUUUUGGUGUUUGAUAAAUUGUCUCAAAGAUGUUCAAGUGCUUUAAAACUAAUUUUCCUCAAAUUUUCAAACAUUAAUUCCAAAUUUUCACCUUUGUUUUUUUAACAAUUUAGUGAUCAGGAAGGUUAUAUUAGCUUCUUUUGAAUUCAACCACGCUGUUUAUGUUAACAAAUUUUCACCUUUUUAUAAAUUUGCAGAAAUGGCAUGUAGUGAUGAGUUUAAUUCAAGUAUGAGAAUGAAUGAUAUCGAGGAAUGUGUUAUGACGGAUGAUUUAGUAGAAAGUGAAGAAGUUGAUGAAGUUAUUAGAGAUCCGGAAGUAGGAAUGGAGUUUGGUUCCGUUGAUUUAUACAUGGAAUAUUACACUAAUUACGGUAACCAAAAUGGAUUUUCGGUGAAAAUAAGAUCAACGGAAAAAGGAGAAAAUGGAGAGACUAAAUUUGUGGUUCUUGCAUGUGCUCGGUCAGGAUGUUCAAUAAGCAAGUCAAAUAAUGCCUUCAACUUACGUCCUGUUAGCAAAACUGGUUGCAAUGCUAAGAUUAGGGCUGCAGUAGUCGAAGACGGAAAAGUGCGAGUAAAGACUCUAACACUUGAUCAUAAUCAUCAGUGCCCGGGAAAAUCUAGAUUUUAUAAGAAAAAUCAGAUUAUGAGCAAGUAUGUGAAAAGGAGACUUGAACUUAACGAUAGAGCUGGUAUUAGACCAAAUAAAAAUUUUAGUUCUUUCUUGGUUGAAGCUGGUGGGCAUGAGAAUGUGUCCUUUUCACAGAAAGAUUGUUACAAUUAUCUUAACAAAGUUAGGCGGUUAAGACUUGGUGAUGGGGAUGCUAUGGCACUUCAAAACUACUUCCAAAGGAUGCAAGCUAAUAAUACAAAUUUUUAUUAUUUGAUGGAUUUGGAUGAUGAUGGGAGACUACGAAAUGUCUUUUGGGCAGAAGCAAGGAGUAGGACAACUUAUGAGGAGUUUGGGGAUGCCAUUACCUUUGACACAACAUACUUAACUAAUAAGUAUGACAUGCCAUUUGCCCCAUUUAUUGGAGUUAAUCAUCACGGUCAAUCAAUACUCUUAGGUUGUGGGGUAAUAUCUCAUGAGGAUAUUGAGUCAUUUAGUUGGAUUUUUAAAGCUUGGCUUGCGUGUAUGAAUGGUCGUGCUCCUACCACAAUAAUCACUGACCAAGACAAAGCAAUGAAGAAGGCAAUUGAAAUUGUGUUCCCCAAUGCACGCCAUAGGUGGUGCUUAUGGCAUAUUAUGAAGAAGUUGCCUGAGAAAUUAUCUGGUUGCAAUCAAUAUGAAUCUAUCAAGUAUUCAAUACAAAAGGCAGUUUAUGAUUCAUUGACUUGUGAAGAGUUUGAAGGGCAAUGGGGUAGUUUCAUUGAGAAAUUUAACUUGAAAGAGAAUGAUUGGUUGACCGGGUUAUACGACGAGAGAAGUCGUUGGGCGCCGGUAUUUUUAAGGAAUACUUUUUGGGCUGGAAUGCCGUCAACUCAAAGAAGUGAAAGUAUGAAUGUUUUUUUUGAUGGUUAUGUGAAUUCAAAGACAACCUUAAAACAAUUUGUUGAGCAGUAUAAGAAUGCAUUGAGAAGUAAGGUACAAAAAGAGAAUGAGGCGGAUUUUAAUUCCUUCGAUCAUUGGAUUCCAUGCCUUACUGACUAUCCAUUUGAGAAACAAUUUCAAGAUACUUAUACCAUGACAAAAUUCAAGGAAUUUCAAGAAGUGGUAAAAGGAAAGCUUUAUUGUGCCAUUGAUUCAGUUAAAGUAGAAUGUGGUUUUGAGGUAUACGACGUUACACAAGAUAUGUUUGGAGGGACUCGCGAAGCCACAUUUAGAGUUUAUUUUAAAGAAGAUGAAUGUACCAUUAAGUUCAACUGUCAAUUAUUUGAGUUCAGGGGAAUAUUAUGUAGACAUGCCCUUACGAUGUUGCUGAAAAAAUGAGUUCGAACCUUACCAGAUAAAUUCAUUCUUCGAAGGUGGAGGAAAGACGUAAAGAGGUGUCAUAAGAAGGUUAAGAUAAUAUAUUCCGACUGGACGUUGAAUCCGAAAAAUAAACGUUUUGAUAGGAUGUGCAACUCUUUUUAUGAAGCGGCAGACUUGGCGACGGAUAAUGAAGAUAAGACAAAAGUUGUUAUGCAUUGGAUUAAAAAUCUUGUUAAUGUACUAAAAAAAGAUGAUGGAACGUGUGGAAGUAAUCAGUCGACUCCUUCCAGACAAGGCACCCAUGUGGGUAGUGGUUGUAAAGAAAGCAAUAAUAUUCGUAGUCCUUUGUCAGUUCAUCGUAAAGGUUGGCCCCGCUUUAAAAGGCUUCAAUAUAAGAUUGAGAAAGUUGUUAGAAGUAUAAGAGUGAGGAAAGGGAAAAAGAAAGAGAAAGAGAAAGAGAAAGAGAAAGAGAGAGAGAAAGGGCAAGGGCAAGGGAAAGACAAGGCUAUUGAACAUAACAUGAAUUUCACUAAUUUGGUAAACCUUUUUAUUUAAUUUUGUCAAAUGUAAAAACUUAUUCAUUUAGAUUAAUUGUAUGUUUUAUUUUACUGCAUUUUCUUUUGUGUAGAGUUCUCAAGAUGACUAUUUUAUAAGCGUACUCAAUAACCCAUAUCAAGUCAAACAUCAAGUUGGACAUGGUCCAGUAGACUACACGAGACAUGGUGCAAUAGAUCUCAAUUUACAGGUUUGUCACUAAUUUAUUUGAAUAAAUCAAAUUCUUAGAGGUUUUAAUUUAUACCAUAAUUAUCAUUAUUUUAAACAUUUUAGGAUGGAGACUUCUCCACCAACGCAAAUCUGCAAUCAUCACAUGUUAAUGACUUUCCAUUUCCCACAAAUCAUGAUGUCUAUUACGGAGGGGGUUUCCCCAUUCAUUUUCAGGUAUAAUAUCUUAUUUCACUACUUUCUCUUUCAAUUUGUGGUGUCUUAUUGGAUGUUAUUUGUUUCUAAAAACUACCAUUUUAUUUUUCUUGUUGCAGGAUUAUUAUAAUCCAUAUUGGAGAAGUGGUGAAGGAUGUGAUCCGAACAAUAGGAGCGGAUAAUAUGGUGGGAUUACUUGAUGAAUAACAUGGGGACGAUGCAUUUGUUGUAGUUCUAUAAAUGUGUGAUACAUUUAUUUUACUUGUAGUUUGUAAAAAUUGUUACAUGUGUAUGCUAAGAAUAUUCAAGGGAAAGGAUCUUUUUAGCAAGGGAAAGCAGUUAUAUUGAUAAUUUUUUGGGCCAGUGAAUCUAAUACUGCUACUAUUAUGAACUGUGUUGGGGCAGUUAGAGUUGCACAAUAUGUGAUGUUGGACUUUUUGAUGUAGAACUUAAGAAGGAAUACUGCUGCUAUUUCCAUGCCUUAUUUUUUAUUUUUCCCCCCUUUUAAUCUAGAACUUUAA